rnacentral:rRNA from 1 species
GGGCCCGCACAAGCGGUGGAGCAUGUGGUUUAAUUCGAUGAUACGCGAGGAACCUUACCAGGGCUUAAAUGUAGAACGACCGAUUUGGAAACAAGUCCUCUCUUUGAGCGGUCUACAAGGUGCUGCAUGGUUGUCGUCAGCUCGUGCCGUGAGGUGUCGGGUUAAGUCCCUUAACGAGCGCAACCCUAUCUCUAGUUGCCAGCGGAUAAUGCCGGGGACUCUAGAGAAACUGCCCGCGCAAGCGGUGAGGAAGGCGGGGAUGACGUCAAAUCAUCACGGCCUUACGUCCUGGGCUACACACGUGCUACAAUGGUCGGUACAACAGGAAGCAAGACGGCGACGUUAAGCA